rfam:Aedes albopictus isolate Foshan contig148780, whole genome shotgun sequence.
UGUUCUGUGACUUAGUUGGUUAAAGCGCCGGACAAGCAAUACGAAGUUGUGGGUUUCAAUCCCACCAAAACAA